rnacentral:rRNA from 1 species
AUCAGAGACAUAUCACCCUGCAGCUCUUGCCUGGUUUCCCACUGAAGCUAACCAGGGUUGAGCCUAGCCAAUACCAGGAUGGAAGACUUCCUGGGGAAAACUUAGGUAGCUACUGGAA